UGGAUCCAGACUUUGAUUAUGGCUCAGGAUGAACGCUAGCUACAGGCUUAACACAUGCAAGUCGAGGGGAAACGAUAGAGAAAGCUUGCUUUUUCUAGGCGUCGACCGGCGCACGGGUGAGUAACGCGUAUCCAACCUGCCCACCACUUGGGAAUAACCUUGCGAAAGUAAGACUAAUACCCAAUGAUAUCUCUAGAAGACAUCUGAAAGAGAUUAAAGAUUUAUCGGUGAUGGAUGGGGAUGCGUCUGAUUAGCUUGUUGGCGGGGUAACGGCCCACCAAGGCGACGAUCAGUGGGGGUUCUGAGAGGAAGGUCCCCCACAUUGGAACUGAGACACGGUCCAAACUCCUACGGGAGGCAGCAGUGAGGAAUAUUGGUCAAUGGGCGAGAGCCUGAACCAGCCAAGUAGCGUGCAGGAUGACGGCCCUAUGGGUUGUAAACUGCUUUUAUAAGGGAAUAAGGUGAGCCUCGUGAGGCUUUUUGCAUGUACCUUAUGAAUAAGGACCGGCUAAUUCCGUGCCAGCAGCCGCGGUAAUACGGAAGGUCCGGGCGUUAUCCGGAUUUAUUGGGUUUAAAGGGAGCGUAGGCCGGAGAUUAAGCGUGUUGUGAAAUGUAGAUGCUCAACAUCUGCAUUGCAGCGCGAACUGGUUUCCUUGAGUACGCACAAAGUGGGCGGAAUUCGUGGUGUAGCGGUGAAAUGCUUAGAUAUCACGAAGAACUCCGAUUGCGAAGGCAGCUCACUGGAGCGCAACUGACGCUGAAGCUCGAAAGUGCGGGUAUCGAACAGGAUUAGAUACCCUGGUAGUCCGCACGGUAAACGAUGGAUGCCCGCUGUUGGUCUGAAUAGGUCAGCGGCCAAGCGAAAGCAUUAAGCAUCCCACCUGGGGAGUACGCCGGCAACGGUGCAACUCAAAUGAAUUGACGGAA
rnacentral:rRNA from 2 species